CCUACGGGUGGCAGCAGUGGGGAAUAUUGCUCAAUGGGGGAAACCCUGAUGCAGCGACGCCGCGUGAGGGAAGAAGGAUUUCGGAAUGUAAAGCUCUGUUAGUAGGGAAGAAAAUGACGGUACCUGACGAAGAAGCCCCGGCUAACUACGUGCCAGCAGCCGCGGUAAUACGGAGGGGGCAAGCGUUAUCCGGAUUUACUGGGCGUAAAGGGGGCGUAGGCGGGAGGGCAAGUCUGGAGUGAAAGGCGGGGGCUCAACCCCCGGACUGCACUUGAAACUGGUAGGCUGGAGUAUAGGAGAGGUAAGUGGAAUUCGUGGUGUAGGGGUGAAAUGCGUAGAUAUUAAGAGGAACACCAGUGGCGAAGGCGGCUUACUGGACUGUAACUGACGUUGAGGCUCGAAAGCGUGGGGAGCAAACAGGAUUAGAUACCCCAGUAGUC
rnacentral:rRNA from 1 species